UGGGGAAUUUUGGACAAUGGGCGCAAGCCUGAUCCAGCCAUGCCGCGUGUCUGAAGAAGGCCUUCGGGUUGUAAAGGACUUUUGUCAGGGAAGGAAAGGAUAGGGUUAAUACCCCUGUCUGAUGACGGUACCUGAAGAAUAAGCACCGGCUAACUACGUGCCAGCAGCCGCGGUAAUACGUAGGGUGCGAGCGUUAAUCGGAAUUACUGGGCGUAAAGCGGGCGCAGACGGUUACUUAAGCAGGAUGUGAAAUCCCCGGGCUCAACCUGGGAACUGCGUUCUGAACUGGGUGACUAGAGUGUGUCAGAGGGAGGUAGAAUUCCACGUGUAGCAGUGAAAUGCGUAGAGAUGUGGAGGAAUACCGAUGGCGAAGGCAGCCUCCUGGGAUAACACUGACGUUCAUGCCCGAAAGCGUGGGUAGCAAACGGGAUUAGAUACCCUGGUAGUCCACGCCCUAAACGAUGUCGAUUAGCUGUUGGGCAGCUUGACUGCUUAGUAGCGAAGCUAACGCGUGAAAUCGACCGCCUGGGGAGUACGGUCGCAAGAUUA
rnacentral:rRNA from 1 species